AGCAGCCGCGGUAAUUCCAGCUCCAAUAGCGUAUAUUAAAGUUGUUGCAGUUAAAAAGCUCGUAGUUGGAUUUCGGGGUCAGUAGGUUGGUCAUGCCUUCGGUAUGUACUGGUCUCACUGAUUCCUCCCUCUUGAAGAACUGUAAUGUCAUUAAUUUGGUGUUGCGGGGAAACAGGACUGUUACUUUGAAAAAUUAGAGUGUUUAAAGCAGGCUCACGCUUGAAUACAUUAGCAUGGAAUAAUGAAAUAGGACGUUCGAUCCUAUUUUGUUGGUUUCUAGGAUUGACGUAAUGAUUAAUAGGGAUAGUUGGGGGCAUUAGUAUUCAAUUGUCAGAGGUGAAAUUCUUGGAUUUAUUGAAGACUAACUACUGCGAAAGCAUUUGCCAAGGAUGUUUUCAUUAAUCAAGAACGAAAGUUAGGGGAUCGAAGACGAUCAGAUACCGUCGUAGUCUUAACCAUAAACUAUGCCGACUAGGGAUCGGAUGAUGUUAAUUUUUAAUGACUCAUUCGGCGUUUUACG
rnacentral:rRNA from 1 species